UUUCGUCUCUGUCUGGGAGUUUCGGCCGCCGAAGGUGCCUCCGAACCUGCUUGACUUUCGGCUCUGGAAGGACUUUCGGUCUCCAAACCUGCCGCCGAAAGUGCCCUGUUCAGCCUUCCUUUGCAUGCUUCCCAUGGAUGUUUUGAGGUGUUUUAAGGGGGUUUUUGGGGGAUGUUUUAGAGUCAUGUUCUAGUAUGUUUGGUCCCUCAUUUGAGUCCACCUUUGUAGGUUCGGACCCGAGGAACCGAGGACCCCAGCAGUGACAGCUGCUUCAGAGUCUUGUCAGAGUCAGCCAGAGGUGAGUAGAAUAAACUCUUACGUUUUAAAUAAAUGAA
rnacentral:lncRNA from 1 species